GACGAACGCUGGCGGCGUGCCUAAUACAUGCAAGUUGAGCGCUGAAGGCUGGUUCUUGUACCAACUGGAUGAGCAGCGAACGGGUGAGUAACGCGUGGGGAAUCUGCCUUUGAGCGGGGGACAACAUUUGGAAACGAAUGCUAAUACCGCAUAAAAACUUUAAACACAAGUUUUAAGUUUGAAAGAUGCAAUUGCAUCACUCAAAGAUGAUCCCGCGUUGUAUUGGCUAGUUGGUGAGGUAAAGGCUCACCAAGGCGAUGAUACAUAGCCGACCUGAGAGGGGGGUCGGCGAAAGUGGGACUGAGACACGGGCCAAGCUCCUGCGGGAGGCAGCAGUAGGGAAUCGUCGGCAAUGGACGAAAGUCUGACCGAGCAACGCCGCGUGAGUGAAGAAGGUUGUCGGAUCGUGAAACUCUGUUGGUAGAGAAGAACGUUGGUGAGAGUGGAAAGCUCAUCAAGUGACGGUAACUACACAGGAAGAGACGGCUAACUACGUG
rnacentral:rRNA from 1 species